GCUCUUGCUGUGUUGCAGAUUGGCAGAUGCUGCCUCCCUAUGUGGUGCUGGACUUGCCGCAGGAGACCCUGGAGGAGGAGACCCCCGGCGCCAACCUGUGGCCCACCACCAUCACCUUCCUCACCCUCUUCCUGCUGAGCCUGUUCUAUAGCACUGCACUGACCGUGACCAGCGUCCGGGGCCCAUCUGGCAACAGGGAGGGCCCCCAGUACUGAGCGGGAGCCGGCAAGGCACAGCAGGGAGGAAGUGUGGAGGAACCUCUUGGAGAAGCCAGCUAUGCUUGCCAGAACUCAGCCCUUUCAGACAUCACCGACCCGCCCUUACUCACAUGCCUUCCAGGUGCAAUAAAGUGGCCCCAAGG
rnacentral:lncRNA from 1 species